UACUGACGCUAAAGCUCGAAGGUGCGGGUAUCGAACAGGAUUAGAUACCCUGGUAGUCCGCACGGUAAACGAUGGAUGCCCGCUGUUUGCGAUAUACUGUGAGCGGCCAAGAGAAAUCGUUAAGCAUCCCACCUGGGGAGUACGCCGGCAACGGUGAAACUCAAAGGAAUUGACGGGGGCCCGCACAAGCGGAGGAACAUGUGGUUUAAUUCGAUGAUACGCGAGGAACCUUACCCGGGCUUGAACUGCAGGAGAACGAUUCAGAGAUGAUGAGGUCCUUCGGGACUCCUGUGGAGGUGCUGCAUGGUUGUCGUCAGCUCGUGCCGUGAGGUGUCGGCUUAAGUGCCAUAACGAGCGCAACCCCUUUCGUUAGUUGCCAUCAGGUGAUGCUGGGCACUCUGGCGAUACUGCCACCGUAAGGUGUGAGGAAGGUGGGGAUGACGUCAAAUCAGCACGGCCCUUACGUCCGGGGCUACACACGUGUUACAAUGGGUGGUACAGAGAGUGGGUCGUCUGCAAAUGCGAUCAAAUCCUAAAAGCCAUCCUCAGUUCGGAUUGGGGUCUGCAACCCGACCCCAUGAAGCUGGAUCGCUAGUAAUCG
rnacentral:rRNA from 1 species